GAUGAACGCUAGCGGCAGGCUUAAUACAUGCAAGUCGAACGGGAUUCGAGGUAGCAAUACUUUGAUGAGAGUGGCGCACGGGUGCGUAACGCGUAUGCAACCUACCUUUAACAGGUGAAUAGCCCCGAGAAAUCGGGAUUAAUACACCGUAACAUUGCGGAUUGGCAUCAAACUGCAAUUAAAGAUUUAUCGGUUAAAGAUGGGCAUGCGUGACAUUAGCUAGUUGGUGAGGUAACGGCUCACCAAGGCCACGAUGUCUAGGGGUCCUGAGAGGGUUAUCCCCCACACUGGUACUGAGACACGGACCAGACUCCUACGGGAGGCAGCAGUAAGGAAUAUUGGUCAAUGGGCGCAAGCCUGAACCAGCCAUGCCGCGUGCAGGAAGACGGCCUAUGGGUUGUAAACUGCUUUUGUCAGGGAAUAAACCUAUCUACGCGUAGAUAGCUGAAGGUACCUGAAGAUAAGCAUCGGCUAACUCCGUGCCAGC
rnacentral:rRNA from 1 species